rnacentral:lncRNA from 1 species
CACAGCGCCCGACGCUCCGGGCGGGCAAUGUCGGGCAGCAGGCCCACGUGCUGUGCCCUCCUCUCCGCUGAAAGCGGCGGGGUUGCUGGGCGCCAUCACCUGACCCGAUGGACGCCUCUGCCCCGCAUCCCCGCGCAGACUCCCACAAAGGUGGUGUCCAGGAGAAAGAUGUCUUGCUCCUUCUUUGGAUAAUAAAAAGCUUUGUGAAGCAAGCAUAAAAUCUAUUACUGUGGAUGAAAAUGGGGAGCCUUUUGCAGUUGUCCUGUAUCCAGAUUUUCAAGAAAAGAAAAUACCUCUUCAGAGACUUCAAGAAGUAAAAUCAACUAAAGACCACUCCAGAAGUCUUAUAUUUGAUGAUGAAGAUUUAGAAAAACCUUAUUUCCCAGAUCAAAAAAUUCCAUCAUUGGUUAGUGCUUUUCAAUUAUCGGAAGAUGGAGACUCAAUUCCUUAUACUAUUAAUAGGUACUUGCGAGAUUACCAAAGGGAGGGAGCUCAGUUUCUCUACAGACACUACAUCAAGGGAAGAGGAUGUAUUCUUGGUGAUGACAUGGGACUUGGAAAAACAAUACAGGUUAUUUCAUUUCUGGCUGCAGUUUUGCAUAAAAAGGGAACUCGUGAAGAUAUUGAAAAUAACAUGCCAGAGUUUUUACUAAAAAGUAUGAAAAAGGAGUCUUCUUCUACAGCCAGAAAGAUGUUCUUAAUAGUUGCUCCUCUCUCUGUCCUCUACAACUGGAAGGAUGAAUUGGAUACCUGGGGAUAUUUCAGAGUUACUGUUUUACAUGGUAGCAAAAAAGACAAUGAGCUGACUCGUUUAAAGCAAAGGAAAUGUGAAAUUGCUCUGACGACCUAUGAAACACUGCGCUUGUGUCUGGAGGAGCUUAAC